GGCCCGAUGCCACGUCUCAGGUAGCCGCAAGCCUUGACCAGAGAUGCGACAUUGUGCCAACAAAGAUUUUCACAUUUGAUAGGAACCUGUGGCUGUGAUUCAGUCGGUACACAGAGCCGUUUUUGGUGAUUACACUU
rnacentral:snoRNA from 2 species